rnacentral:rRNA from 1 species
CGAACGAACUUCCGUUAAUUGAUCAGGACGUGCUUGCACUCGAAUGAGAUUUAACACGAAGUGAGUGGCGCGACGGGUGACUAACACGUGGGUAACCUGCCCAGAUAGCAGGGUGAUAACACCUGGUAAACAGAUGCUAAUACCGUAUAACAAAGAAAACCGCCUGGUUUUCCUUUAAAAGAUGGCUCUGCUAUCACUUCUGGAUGGACCCCCGGCGCAUUAGCUAGUUGGNGAGGUAACGGCUCACUAAGGCGAUGAUGCGUAGCCGACCUGAGAGGGUAAUCGGCCACAUUGUGACUGAGACACGGCCCAGACUCCUACGGGAGGCAGCAGUAGGGAAUCUUCCACAAUGGACGCAAGUCUGAUGGAGCAACGCCGCGUGAGCGAAGAAGGGUUUCGGCUCGUAAAGCUCUGUUGUUAAAGAAGAACGUGGGUGAGAGUAACUGUUCA